GGGCGCCGGGGGGAUCUCCCGGGCCACAUGCGCCUGUGCGUAAACUUCGCACCCCCGCCCCGCCGCUCGGAGGGGAGAGGAGAGGAGAGAAGGGAGAGCUGCGCUGCGGAGCGGGCAGCGCGGGGAGGCGGCCCAAGCCCCAGUGUGCGCUACUGGCUGAGCCCCGCUCCUCCGUCAGAUACAACGGCGGCCGCUGGGACCUGCUCCCUCAAAAGGGCUGGGGAGGAGAGUCGCGAGUGGCCGGAUAAAUACGGGGGAGGAGAAGGGCGUCUCUACCUCUCCCCACCUCCCUCCACCUCCUCCUCCCCCCCACCGCGGAGGGCGCGCUCGGAGCUGCCUCUGUCUGUCCGGGCGCCCGGGGCGUCUCCGCGCCCUUCCGCGGUGCGGUGCGCGCAGGCUGGGCGCGGGAGGCUGUGCUGCUGAAGGUGAAGCUCUCGCUCUCCAAUUACUUUUCCCAAGGGAGAGAAGAAGGCAGCAGGAGGGGGAAGUCGUGCUGUGUGUGGAAGGCACACCAAUCAGAGAUGCUCUAACGGAGGGACUGCUGCAGGACGCGCCGGAUUCUCCUCCUUCCUCUGCCGGCGGGGCUGAAUCGGGACCACGCACAGCUGGCGUAGGGGCCGGAGCCGUACUAGGCUGCAGGACUUCCCCAUCUCCGCUUUUCCAAUAGCUCAACCAUACUUCGUCCUCUUUAUUGUUAUUAUUUUUUAUUACUCCGAAAUCGUGCGCAAGAAACACUUCAAGUCUUCCCUUCAUUCGCAGUUACUUCACCCUUCCUCUAGCAUCUUUUAGCCGGAUUCCUGGUAUAUUCCCAGAGGCCGGGGGAGAGAGGACGCGGACGGCGGCUGCCCCAGCCCGGCGGAGCCGAGGGGAGCCGAGCGGAGCGCGGCACGGCGCCGCUCCAUGCCCCCGAGCGCUGGCGGGGCGCGGGGCGUGUGCCGGCGAUGCCCGGGCGGUAAGGCUGGAGCUCCCCCCGGACGGGAGGCGGCCGAUCGCUAGGCAUUUCUAGCAAGAAUCGGGACUGCAGGAUGAAUAAGAGAUACUUGCAGAAAGCAACAAAAGGAAAACUGCUAAUAAUAAUAUUUGUUGUAACGCUGUGGGGGAAAUUAGCAUCUGGGGCAAAUCAUCAUAAAGCUCACCAUGUUAAAACUGGGACCUGUGAAGUGGUGGCACUUCACAGAUGCUGCAAUAAGAAUAAGAUAGAAGAAAGAUCACAGACAGUGAAGUGUUCCUGCUUCCCUGGGCAGGUAGCAGGUACCACCCGGGCAGCUCCUUCUUGUGUUGAUGCUUCAAUAGUGGAGCAGAAAUGGUGGUGCCACAUGCAACCAUGUCUUGAAGGGGAGGAAUGUAAAGUUCUUCCAGAUCGUAAAGGAUGGAGCUGUUCCUCUGGGAAUAAAGUGAAAACAACUAGGCUGUGGCAGUAUUCCUGGAGCCAAAUGUGAGUGCACUUCCUCAAAAUGCCAGCAGUGGAAGCUGGUAAGCAAGUGGGGAAAAAUCACCAGAGGAAUCUCUGAAGCUUGGGACAAAGGCAGAAAACACAUCAGUACUGCAUUAACAGAACAGCAGGUACUCUUAUAGAGAAGAUAAAAUUACAGGCAAACGUGUAAAACUCCUCAAGUCCGAAUGGAGAAGUAGAGAAAGGAGGUUUCUGCUGUGCCUGAUGACAAUUUUUGUUUUUCCCACACACAAAAAAUAUUCUGGCUCCACGUUGGAGCACUAGUUGUGAUGAAUCCUAGUCUUGGUCGGAUUCUAAGGAAGGGCCAGAACGUUCGUUGAGGAAUAAAGAGUCAAACCACUUCAGAAAAUGUGUUCCAGCCCUGGUUUAUUACUCACAGAGCAGCAGGUAACCCGAUAGCUAAAGACAAAUCAAGCCAGUCUCAAGGCUGAUAACAUUAAAUAGAACACAUAGGAAUUUCAUUCCUCCAGGCAAUCCUUGGAGUGAAUUUUAUACUGCUGAGGUAUAUCCUUCAGAAUCAAUUGUUUCAAUGAGAACCUGGCUUGUAAUCAGCAACAGCCUUGAGAUCAAAACUACUGGAAAGUUAUUUUGAACUUCUGUGUCACAAAUAUUUCAACUGAUUGGACUGUGUACACUUGUAAAGUUGCACUUGCUGAGGAAUUUGCAGCUGUAAUCACAAGCUAAUAUUCUGAAGGUGCAGAAAAGCAGCAAACUUUUGGGUUCUCCGUUGCAGAUCAGUGGCUUUUCAUCUUGAAGAAGUCAACCUCUGAAAUGUAUUGGAUCCUUCACUCUAAAAUGAUCCUUGGUCCACUGUUCAGAUUGCUGGUGGGACUGCACAGUGCUUUAAUUAAAUUUCUGUUGCAGAAAUUGUCCUCUGGCAUGGCGCAGUUUUAGACAUUUUUAUUUGUGUUCUAAUCUUGCAGCUCUCAAAGGUACAUAUUUCAACAUCUUGAAGUUGCUUUGUUAUAGGAAUGGAAUUAUAUAUCCAUUGUUAAUAAUUAUUGUUGACAAGUAAUAGUUAUCUGAAUACAUCAGUCAUAUUAGAAUGUAUAGUCAGGAUGACAUGUUUCCCUAAGGCUAACCAACUACUGCAGCUUAACAGUUAAUGAAAGUAGUGGUCAAAAUUCAAUUACCACUUCCAUAAUGAGACAUUUUAUAUCUUUAAUAUAUACAUUUCCAUUUAGUUUGAAGGAAAUGGGUGAUUCCAACAUGUACUUUACUUUCCUCACCUUUAAUUCAUUUAAAUUGAUGGUAAAUAGUCAAUUACACUAUUUCAUCCCUUUUUUAUAAAGGUAGGCAGGGAUGUAAAUGAGUUUUGCAAUUAUAAUAUUGGAUGGUAAUCAUUCAGAAUUUUUGUCUUUUUAUUAAAAAAUAAAAUCUCUUGCUUGAACCUAAGUACUGAUGGAUGCUUAUGUAGAUGUCUGCUCAGUCUGUUUGCCAUAAAGGAAAAAGUCCUAGUGCUCUCCCAGUUUUACACUUCAUGGUAUUUUGCUUGCUUACAGUCAUCCUAUUCAGAUCUGUUUUGUUUUGUUUCUAACUUUGCCAUGUGUUGCUACAUGAAAAAAAAAAUACUCAGUAUUAAAGGCCUUAAGCAUCUUUGAGCUUUUUUCUAAGUUAUUACAGAAUGUAUAAUUUUAUACUCCAUUUAAUGUAUAUUGUACCAUCUGUAAUAUUGAUACAAAAGAAAUUUGGCAAUUCCUUUUAGUGACACUGCCUAAACAUACUGAUUAGAGGGAGUUCUUACUGUAUGCUUUGGUGAAUUGAAAUGAAAGCCACACACACUUAAUGGUAGUCAAAAAUACAAAGAUGUAAGCUUGUUUAAGUCCCAUGUGGUUACCAAACACAGCAAACAAAAAACCAAAAAAAAAAAAACCCAAGUAAAAAAAAACCCAACCCAAAACAAAAAAAAAAAAAGGAAAAAAAAAUAAUAGAAGGAAAUGGUUUAAUCAUUACAAACCACUGACAUGGCUAGUUUAGUUAUAUAUUAAGUUCUAUGAUUGAUGAACACCCUGGUGUGCUCUGCUUGUCACUGUAGCCCCUGCUGCUCCGAAACCAUUUCAUUACCUCUGCUGUAUUAUUGCACAGGAGAGUUUAAAUAAAAUAAACGGCUGUUGGGAAUAAAAUUGAGAAGUAUAUUCUAUCAUUAUUUAAUGGGAAAUAAUUUAAAAAAAUGUUGACAGAAAAAAAGUUCUUAUUUUCUGAUUUAAAUUUAAUUAUAAUAAACCGUUUGUAGCAGAAACUAGGUCUUGGUAUUUUAGGAUGGAUUAGUAUUAUAUGGAUUUGUGCUAAGAGGUUCAGAAGGGAGGUAGCAUCUUAAAGAGGUUGUCUGGGACAGUGCAAAGUGUAAAUGUGCUGUUUUGUAAAAUCUGAAUAUGACCUCUAUUUGGUCGAAAAUCUAUAUCAUGCUUCUCAAUACUUGUUUUCUUUGUUUCCUUGUUCUUAAACAGCGCUGAAAAUGCUGUAUUAUAUACAAGUGUAACACAUGCAUACCAAUAAAUGAAAAUAAAUGGAUUUUCAAAUAUA